rnacentral:rRNA from 1 species
UUCCGGUUGAUCCUGCCGGACCCGACUGCUAUCAGAGUGGGACUAAGCCAUGCGAGUCAACGUAGCAAUACGUGGCACACGGCUCAGUAACACGUAGUCAACAUAACCAAAGGACGUGGAUAAACUCGGGAAACUGAGGCUAAACCGCGAUAGAUCAAGAUAUCUGGAAUGGUUUUUGAUCAAAAUCUAUAUGGCCUUUGGAUUGGACUGCGUCCGAUCAGGCUGUUGGUGAGGUAAUGGCCCACCAAACCUGUAACCGGUACGGGCUCUGAGAGGAGGAGCCCGGAGAUGGGUACUGAGAAAAGGACCCAGGCCCUAUGGGGCGCAGCAGGCGCGAAACCUCUGCAAUAGGCGAAAGCCUGACAGGGUUACUCUGAGUGACUUUCGCUAAGAAAGUCUUUUGACACCUCUAAAAAUGGUGCAGAAUAAGGGGUGGGCAAGUCUGGUGUCAGCCGCCGCGGUAAUACCAGCACCCCGAGUGGUCGGGACGAUUAUUGGGCCUAAAGCAUCCGUAGCCGGUACUGCAAGUCUUCCGUUAAAUCCACCUGCUCAACAGUUGGGCUGCGGGGGAUACUACAGCGCUAGGAGGCGGGAGAGGCAAGCGGUACUCAGUGGGUAGGGGUAAAAUCCACUGAUCCAUUGAAGACCACCAGUGGCGAAGGCGGCUUGCCAGAACGCGCUCGACGGUGAGGGAUGAAAGCUGGGGGAGCAAACCGGAUUAGAUACCCGGGUAGUCCCAGCUGUAAACGAUGCAGACUCGGUGAUGGGCUGGCCUUGUGCCAACCCAGUGCCGCAGGGAAGCCGUUAAGUCUGCCGCCUGGGGAGUACGGUCGCAAGACUGAAACUUAAAGGAAUUGG